AAUCUGAUAAAUGGAUUUGAUUAUAAUUGGACAAAAGCACAAAGGCCAUAUAAUGAGGAGUCCUGACAAUUGAUAAAGAAUACUUACUAGUUUCCGUUGGCUGCAUCUCUGUGUCCUCCACAGUGGUCCCACCAGCCUGCCGUUGGUUGGCUAAGGAGUAAAAAUACAUGAUAUGAGGCAUCACUUCAUUCAUUGUCAACUCAGUAUGAGUACAGAAUGCAUGGUGCUCUGAAGUGAUUAUUCUACUCUCAGGUAUUCUUAACACUGUCUUUUCUUACCAGCACUGACUUUCCUGAUAGCUACUUUAUUGAGGAAAAUGUUACUUUCCAUGACUGUGAUAGAUAUGUGGUUGUCUCACCUAGCUACCUUAAAAUGAAGGCACAAACUGUGUCGCUGUGGAUAUAUAUUUAAGAUAAUGUUUGUCAUUCUAUUAUUUAUUUAAGGCGAGGCACUACACCCUAUCUAACUUGUAUUUUUCCUUAAUCAUAUCACAGUUAACUUUUACCAGUUGAAUAUACACACCAAUAUUAUAAUUUUUGUAUUAUAACUUUUCUGAAAUAUAGUAUAAAAAUAUGCAAAUGCAGUGAUAUCUCAUUACAUGAGAUAUCAUCAGCAACGACCGGAAGGCCCUACAGAGGGACGGCCCAGCACAUCCCUGGGGGUAAGCUCCCAGCCAUCCAGGACGUACAUGCCAGGCGGUGUCUGAGAAAGGCCCCAAAUAUUGCCAAAGACUCCAGCCAUCCAAGACAUGGACUGUUCUCCAUACUCGGUACCGGUGCAUCAAGGCUCAGACAAACAGACUCGUAAACAGCUUCUGCCUCCUGGCCAUAAGACUGUUAAAUGGCUGACAACUACUGCUCUCUCUCUCCCACAGACUAUCCAAACUGACUCUAUGCCCAUCCACAGGGCUCCACCCACUGAGACACAACAUACGCUGAUGCUAAAAUUAUUAUUGAUUACCAUAAGUAUUUAUCUAUUUAUCCUGCUACUGGUCACUAUUACUCCUGUUUACAUGUAUAUAUUACCACUAGUAUACAGCAUUACCAUAAUUAUUUAUAUAUUUAUCCUGCUACUGGUCACUAUUACUCCUGUUUACAUGUAUAUAUACCACUAGUAUAACAGCAUUACCAUAAUUAUUUAUAUAUUAUCCUGCUAACUGGUCACUAUUACUCCUGUUUACAUGUAUAUAUUACCACUAGUAUACAGCAUUACCAUAAUUAUUUAUAUAUUCCUGCAAGCAGUCACUUUCCAGGCCUGUUUACAUGUAUAUCCUACUAGCAGUAACUUUCUAUGUAUAAACCCACCUCCACCACUCCAGUAGCCCUGCACAUUAAAUAAGACACUGGCACUGACCUGUGUAUGCAGCAUUUGCAUUCUCGUGUUUCUUUAACUCACAUCAUAGUUCUUGUGUGGUCUUUCUUCAUACUUUUAUUUUUUAUUCUAUUUUCUAUUAUUAUCAAGGUAAGAAUUUAACUGUACUGUUUUACACCUGUUGUAUUCUGUGCACAUGGCAAAUAAACUUUUAAUCUUGAAAUAUGCACAUAUUUGUAUAUACCGCAAAUCUAUUUUUCUGGACACUGGAUAAAGUCAGCCUUAAUAUUUGGGUUUCAUUUUGUUAAAACACUCCAGGACCGGACUUAUGUAGGGCAGAUUGUAGAUAUAUACUUUUUCAUAUUUCUAUCUCUAAAAUACUAAAGAUAAAUUGCAUUUUUGAGCAUAUUUCCAAAGAAAAUAUGAUCUAGAAUAAAAGUUAGAAUACAUCAACAAUUUCCCCGAUACAAGUCUGGGGAAUAUAUCUAAGGAUAACCACAUAACAUUUUAAGUCUGAGAAAAAUUUGUUGGCAUGUGGGAAGAGUCUGACUUUCGGGAAAUGGCAGUUAAAGACAAGUACACUGAAUUUAGCCUAAACAUCGCCAAAUGUCUAUUUAGACCCAAUCACAAUCUCUUCAAAGUAAGUCACUACAUAUAGUCCAGUUUGUAACAUUCUCUAUGAAAUGGGCUUUUAAAUGGUGUAUGAAAUGAGGGAUGUACAGUGCCUUCAGAAAGUAUUCAGAACCCUUGACGUUUUCCACAUUUUGUUACAUUACAGCCUUAUUCUAAAAUUAAUUAAAUGAAACAAAUCCUCAGAAAUCUACACACAAUACCCCAUAAUGACAAAGCGAAAACAGGUUCUAAAAAAACGGAAAUAUCUUAUUCACAUAAUUAUUCAGACCCUUUGGUAUGAGACUCGAAAUUGAGCUCAGGUGCAUCCUGUUUCCAGUGAUCAUCCUUGAGAUGUUUUUACAACUUGAUUGGAAUCCACCUGUGGUAAAUUCAAUUGAUUGGACAUGAUUUGGAAAGGCACACAGUGCAUGUCAGAGCUAAAACAAAGCCAUGAGGAAUUGUCCGUAGAGCUCAGAGACAGGAUUGUGUCGAGGCACAGAUCUGGAGAAGCGUACCAAAUAAUGUCCACAGGAUUGAAGGUCCCCAAGAACAAACACAGUGGCCUCCAUCAUUCUUUAAUGGAAGAAGGUUAGAACCGCCAAGUCUCUUCCUAGAGCUGGCUGCCGGGCCAAACUGAGCAAUCAGGGGAGAAGGGCCUUGGUCA
ensembl:lncRNA